rnacentral:rRNA from 1 species
CGGAUUCCGUGACGCAGCUAACGCAUUAAGUUCCCCGCCUGGGGAGUAUGGCCGCAAGGCUAAACUCAAAGGAAUUGACGGGGACCCGCACAAGCGGCGGAGCAUGUGGAUUAAUUCGAUGCAACGGAAGAACCUUACCAAGGCUUGACAUACACCAGAACACCGUAGAAAUACGGGACUCUUUGGACACUGGUGAACAGGUGGUGCAUGGUUGUCGUCAGCUCGUGUCGUGAGAUGUUGGGUUAAGUCCCGCAACGAGCGCAACCCUCGUUCUAUGUUGCCAGCACGUAAUGGUGGGAACUCAUGGGAUACUGCCGGGGUCAACUCGAAGGAAGGUGGGGAUGACGUCAAAUCAUCAUGCCCCUUAUGUCUUGGGCUUCACGCAUGCUACAAUGGCCGGUACAAAGGGCUGCAAUACCGUGAGNGGAGCGAAUCCCAAAAAGCCGGUCCCAGUUCGGAUUGAGGUCUGCAACUCGACUUCAUGAAGUCGGAGUCGCUAGUAAUCGCAGAUCAGCAACGCUGCGGUGAAUACGUUCCCGGGUCUUGUACACACCGCCCGUCAAGUCAUGAAAGUCGGUAACACCUGAAGCCGGUGGCCCAACCCUUGUG